GGUUUGGGCUUCUUGUUGUUAAAGCCCUUCCUCACUGAAAUCAUUUCCACUAUACGUAUGUAGAUACUUUGUUACACUUUCGUUCAACAAGUCAGUGGAUUUUGCUUAAAUGGAUAGUUGAAGUAGUUUGGGAAAUACACAUUUGCUUUAUUACUGAGAGCCCAAUGAGUAGAUUGAUUCUACUCUCUAGACAUGAAAGUGGUAUUGAUCUUUUCAUCUAACUCUAAGCAAGAAAAAAUAUUCUUUAACAUCUCUCUCCUUGUGAUAAAACCAAAUCAUAACACUAGUGAUUAGACUUCAUAAUUGGUAGUUGCAGGUAGUUGGAGCUUCAAAAGCCACAUGUAGGCCUACAGAGCAGCUCCACAUAGGGUUACUGUUAGUGUAUUGACAGAAGUAUGAGAGAGUGCUGCCGUCAGCUGAUUGUUUUGUCAAACUAAAGACUGCACUACCAAUCAUUUUAAUCAUAUCCUUUUCAUUGUUACCUCUAUUUUCAUUACUUGAACAAUCUUAAAAGAAGAACCACCAGUCUCCAUCAUGAGACGACAUGUACAUGCAACAUGCAGAUUUCUUUUUUUCUUGUUGUGUGUUGUCACCUGACACUUGGCUAAAUUUAUUUUUAUUUUUUAUUUUUUACCACUUUUCUGUCUUUUUAGAUCCAUUCCAACUGCAGUAAUCAGUGUUCAUCGGUAAUGGAAAAUGCUCUGUGGUCAUGUUUAAACAUGCUAAAGCUAUCAAGUUGUAAAUAUUCCCAACUCUGUGUUCUGUUUGUUUUGCUCAACUUUUGCUGGCCUGUUUUAGCACUAUUUUGUUUCAGAUUUGAAUGUCAGUAGUGCAUUGCUGCCUAUUACAUGUACAUAACAAAAUUUUACAUAAAUAUGGAAAACUGA